rnacentral:lncRNA from 1 species
AAUUUCAGAGGUUUAUCUGUCCAUUAUCAUCAUGGCAGGAAGUACAGCAGCAUAGAGGCCACCAUGGUUCUGGAGAUAGAGCUGCGAGUUCUACAUCUUGAUCAGCAAGCAGCAGAAGGGGACUCUGAUAAAACAAUGAGCAGAGCCUGGGCAGAGGAGACCUCAAAAUCUCCCCCCACAGUGACACAUUUCCUUCUACAAGGCCACAGCUACUCCAACAAGGUUGUGCCUUCUAAUAGUACCAUUCCCUGUGGAUCAAGCAUUCAAACACAUGAGUCUAUGGGGGCCAAACCUAUUCAAACCACCAUGGUAAUCAUUUAUAGAAACUCAAGAAUUAGAAUAUAAUAUUCUUUAUAUCCAAAAAAAGGAAAA